rnacentral:rRNA from 1 species
CCUACGGGUGGCAGCAGUGAGGAAUAUUGGUCAAUGGACGAGAGUCUGAACCAGCCAAGUAGCGUGAAGGAUGACUGCCCUAUGGGUUGUAAACUUCUUUUAUAUGGGAAUAAAAUGUUCCACGUGUGGGAUUUUGUAUGUACCAUAUGAAUAAGGAUCGGCUAACUCCGUGCCAGCAGCCGCGGUAAUACGGAGGAUCCGUGCGUUAUCCGGGUUUAUUGGGUUUAAAGGGAGCGUAGGUGGAUUGUUAAGUCAGUUGUGAAAGUUUGCGGGUCAACCGUAAAAUUGCAGUUGAAACUGGCAGUCUUGAGUACAGUAGAGGUGGGCGGAAUUCGUGGUGUAGCGGUGAAAUGCUUAGAUAUCACGAAGAACUCCGAUGGCGAAGGCAGUUCACUGGACUGCAACUGACACUGAGGCUCGAAAGUGUGGGUAUCAAACAGGAUUAGAUACCCCAGUAGUC